CCGCCACAGAUUCAUCUCUUUCAUCUCCUCUCCAUCUCUGAAGCUUCAUGUCUUCUCCUCUGAAGUUUCAUCUCCUCUCCAUCUCUGAAGAACUGCGUGAUUAUAGAGCUUCAUCUCUCUUUCGGCUCUAGACCCACUGAAUCAACAACCAGGGGAUUUUAAUUUUAGGGUUACAUCUUUGAAUCUGCUAUGAGAAAGCUUGAAAUCGUUCCAGUCGAUUUCCAUUAUUGAAUAAUUUGUCUCAAUUAAAUUAGGUCAAACAAAUUUUAAGGAGAUUCAAUCAAAUUUCAGGCAGGUGCUGAUCCAAAUGGUGCACCAGAUGGAAUAAAAGCUCUUCCACUUGCUGCAGGGGUAACACAAAUCAUCAAACCGCUGGUUGAUGCUGGUGCAGAUUUAGAUGUUAAAAAUAUAGUAGCUGAUUUUACUUUUGGUCUUUAUUCAUUUAGUGGGCAUCAACUGUUGUAACUACUUGAAAUGGUACUUACGAAGUGAUUGCCUUGAUUAUUCCUUCCUUGGGUUAGAAAGGCGCCAGUUUCUUGAUCCUCUGUUUAGUUUUAGUUGGGUUUCUUAAAAUGAAAAUAAGUAGUGGUAUGCUAUGGGAUGAUUCAUUGGAUUAUGAAAGUCGACUUUUUCUUGUCACAACGCGGACUAAAGCCAAUUGAACUCGCAGCUGUUGUCAGUAAUCCUCAAGGUGUUAAGAUUCUUUUUCCUGUGACUUCUCAUAUUCCAUCAUAUGAUGACUGGAGCAUAAAUGGAACAAUGAAGCAUGUGGAAUCUAAGAAGUUCAAGAAAAAGAUGAAUCGUAAUUCAGCAGAGUAUUUUUCUUGAGGUAAAAUCAAGGGGAACAAAUGCAUUCCAUAAGGAGUAUUGGCUGGCGGUAUAUUGGUACUCAAAUGUACCUUUUCUUAACAGGAAAUACUCUAAAGCUUAACGUUUGAAUGAAUUUUACUUUAAUUGAUAUAUUUUUUUCUGGAAGGUGAAAUAAGAAUGCAUACACCUUCCAAGUAUUAUUUAGUGACUUUUAUGCAUUUCAUAACUGUAUAUGUAAUACAAAUUAGAUGAUUUGGGAAUUGUCGCGUUUGAUUUUGAUGGUUGUCUUGCGAACACCGAUGUGGGAAGGUAAUGUAAUAUUUUUGAGACUAAUUAUCCUGUAUUGUAUGCUUGUCCGAGAUCCAUAGUGUCCAGCUCAUGUCUCAUAUGCUAUUCCCAAAUUUUUCCAUCUGUCCUCCUUGUGAUCCCAUUUUUAAAGGGUAAUACUAAUGAAGGUUAAAAAAAUAAGGGUUGUCUGUGUUCUUUGGAGGCCUGGCAUGGGCAUAACCCUGGUCUUUGUGAAGUUUAUUGAUAUACAUGAUUCAUCUUGACACUUUUAGCUCUUUUUAGGUGUUUCACUCGAUGUGCUUGCACCUGGUAUCAAGGCAAUUUUUAACUGUAUUUCCCGGUCAAAGAGUUGCGCAAAAGAAGCCACCUGGUAUCGUCAUCGAUGGUCUCUGGGUGUAUAAAGGCCGGAAGACUAUCAAAUAUGAUGGUGUUGCUGGGUUUACCGCGGGUUCAACAUUUCUUGUGUUGAAAUUGUUGUCUUCUGUGGUCUCUACUUCGGAUUGUACGACUCACUAAAGCCAGUUCUUUUGAAUGGUGACUUAGCGGAUAGUUUCUUGCUUCUCCACAUGCUUGUGGUACAUCUAGAUGAAUGUUCAGAAGUACUCUAUUGUGCCAUAUCUUUCCAACUACGACCAAAAGUCUGUAUAUGAGUCACCAACACCGGCAAAAAUGAUUGUUCCUUUUCCGUCUUUUCCAACAGCUUGACAUGUUCAGCAGACCAAUGUGCAUUGUCCAAGUACAUUGUUGGGUCCUCUAUGGUAGGAUCUCAGGCUGGGAAGGUAGGGAUGACCGUGGUGUCUGAUCUCAGACUAGCUCAACUUCAGCAUCAGCUUCCUUCAAUUGAACCAGGCGCGCCUAUGCAACUUGUUGAGGGCACUACGGAGGAAGAUAAUAUAUCUUUAAAUGUGAAGGAAGGUAUUUGGGCUUAAGAAAAGCAGUACUCUGGUGAUAUUGUAGCUUGCAGAGGAAUUUGUUUAAGCAAGCGGAGUCUCGUUAUACUUCUGGUGGAGUUCAAUCUUACUCAUAUAUUAGUCUUUCUUUCCCUGUUUUUCGAUGCCUCUUUCAGUUGACACAAACUAGGUCACCCAUCAAUUUAUGAACGACGACAUAGAACAUUGUAUGUCAAGUCACAAAAGUUUGGGACUUGAUGAUCCUCUCAGUAAGUUAGCUCUGAUACUUGUAUACAUUUUUGUCAAAUACUCGUACUUUUUGUUAACUUCAAUUAAAGAAUCUUUUUUCAUAAUAUAAUACAGUUUUGUAUCUUC